rnacentral:rRNA from 1 species
AAGCUUUCGGGCUUUGAGACCGGCGCACGGGUGCGUAACGCGUAUGCAAUCUGCCUUACACUAAGGGAUAGCCCAGAGAAAUUUGGACUAAUACCUUAUAGUAUAUUUUUGUGGCAUCACAAGAUUAUUAAAGAUUUAUCGGUGUAAGAUGAGCAUGCGUCCCAUUAGCUAGUUGGUAUGGUAACGGCAUACCAAGGCUAUGAUGGGUAGGGGUCCUGAGAGGGAGAUCCCCCACACUGGUACUGAGACACGGACCAGACUCCUACGGGAGGCAGCAGUGAGGAAUAUUGGACAAUGGGCGCAAGCCUGAUCCAGCCAUGCCGCGUGCAGGAUGAAGCAUCUAUGGUGUGUAAACUGCUUUUAUACAGGAAGAAACCCCUUUACGUGUAGAGGAUUGACGGUACUGUAGGAAUAAGGAUCGGCUAACUCCGUGCCAGCAGCCGCGGUAAUACGGAGGAUCCAAGCGUUAUCCGGAAUCAUUGGGUUUAAAGGGUCCGUAGGCGGUCUUAUAAGUCAGUGGUGAAAUCCGGCAGCUCAACUGUCGAACUGCCAUUGAUACUGUAAGACUUGAAUUACUGUGAAGUAACUAGAAUAUGUAGUGUAGCGGUGAAAUGCUUAGAUAUUACAUGGAAUACCAAUUGCGAAGGCCGGUUACUAACAUUAUAUUGACGCUGAUGGACGAAAGCGUGGGUAGCGAACAGGAUUAGAUACCCUGGUAGUCCACGCCGUAAACGAUGGAUACUAGCUGUUCGGAUGCAAUCUGAGUGGCUAAGCGAAAGUGAUAAGUAUCCCACCUGGGGAGUACGAACGCAAGUUUGAAACUCAAAGGAAUUGACGGGGGCCCGCACAAGCGGUGGAGCAUGUGGUUUAAUUCGAUGAUACGCGAGGAACCUUACC